GAUGAACGCUGGCGGCGUGCCUAAUACAUGCAAGUCGAGCGAAGCGGGGACGGGUGAGUAACACGUGGACAACCUCCUAUAAGAUUUGGUAACACCCGGGAAACCGGGGCUAUACCGGUUACUUACAGAUCGAUCUUAGCUGCAUUAGCUAGUUGGUAAGCUACCGGCUUACCUAGGCAACGAUGCUUAGCCGACCUGAGAGGGUGAUCUGCCACCCUUGAACUGAGACACGGUCCAGACUCCUACGGGAGGCAGCAGUAGGGAAUCUUCCACAAUGGGCUAAAGCCUGACAGAGCAACGCCGCGUGAAUGAUGACGGUCUUCGGAUCGUAAAACUCUGUUAUUAGGGACGCGGUACCUACUCAGAAAGCCACGGCUAACUACGUGCCAGCAGCCGCGGUAAUUC
rnacentral:rRNA from 1 species